ensembl:lncRNA
CCCUCCGUGACCACACCCUCCAUCCGUCCCCACUCCCUCCGUCCCCACUCCCUCCGUCCCCACUCCCUCCGUCCCCUCUCCCUCCGUCCCCACUCCUUCCGUCCCCACUCCCUCCGUCCCCACACUCUCAAUCCGUCCCCACUCCCUCCGUCCCCACACUCUCCGUUCGUCCCCACUCCCUCCGUGACCACACUCUCCAUCCGUCCCACUCCCUCCGUCCCCACUCUCUCCAUUCCCCCUCCCUCCGUCCCCACUCCCUCCAUCCCCACUCCCUCCAUCCCCACAUUCUCCGUCCGUCCCGACUCCCUCCGUCCCCACUCCCUCCAUCCCCACUCCCUCCAUCCCCACAUUCUCCAUCCGUCCCGACUCCCUCCGUCCCCACUCCCUCCGUCCCCACAUUCUCCGUCCGUCCCGACUCCCUCCGUCCCGACUCCCUCCAAUCCCACUCCCUCCGUCCCCACACUCUCCGUUCGUCCCGACUCUCUCCGUCCAUCCCCACUCCCUCCGUCCCC